rnacentral:lncRNA from 1 species
GAGACGCUAGCGCAGUCCCGCAAGCCCAGAGGGCCUUGAAAGACAAAGAUGAACCUCGAUUCCAUUCAUCGAUUAAUUGAGGAAACUCAAAUCUUCCAGAUGCAACAGUCGUCCAUCAAGCCAUGCUGUGACAAGGAAGCUCCUGGCCCCUGCCCUAGGGACACCUGCGGUCCCUGCUUGCCACCUUGUGGGCCAUCCUCUCCUGCAGCCUGUGACUUCAGUGCUCAUCCCUUCAACACCAACAAAUGGGACCUUUGUGAGGAACUCCGCCGGCGGGAACUCGAGGAAGUCAAGGCCAGGGCGGCUCAGAUGGAGAAGACCAUGCGCUGGUGGUCGGACUGCACUGCCAACUGGAGAGAAAAAUGGAGUAAAGUUCGAGCCGAGAGGAACAGUGCCAGGGAGGAAGGAAGACAACUCAGAAUAAAACUAGAGAUGGCCACGAAGGAGCUGAGCGCCCUGAAAAAGAAGCAAAGUCUGUCACUUCAAAAGGAGGUGGCAGAAGCCACAGUAACCCAGGACCUGGAGCUUCCUGGCUUUGAAGGGUCCCACCACCGGAAAGACCAGCUUCAAACUAGUUCACCCAUGUGUGGCUCCAUGGGUUUGGAGAACAGACAACUUGUUGAGGAGGAGAACACAAAAAGUAAGGAAGAAGGUGUGGUUCUGGAUUCAUUAAGAUUAAAUGAGGAGAUGAAACCAAAUCCAGAUAGCACUGAUUUGUUCAGGAAGGGUGGUUUUGGAAGCUGUGCCCUGAAGCCUGGGCUGAGUCUGCCAGCAGGGAACCUGUCCCCUGAGAAUGCAGUGACUGAAGUCUCAGCCUGGCAGCUGCCUUUGGAUGACUUCCAAGAAAUCCUGUGGAAGGAGAGAGAGUAAGUGCUCAUCUUUGUAUCCCUGAACAGAAUUCCUUCAGUCUGAUAAGCUGGUCAUUUGAU